rnacentral:misc_RNA from 1 species
AAAGUCGUAACAAGGUUUCCGUAGGUGAACCUGCGGAAGGAUCAUCACUGAUUCUCCGGGGAUGGGGGGGAGGAGAUCUCUCCCGCCCCAACCAAUCUUGUGUGCACCGUUUCUCACCGAUCAAGGAGAGAGUAGUAUCAAUAAUGCGCGUGUGACAUGUGUGUGUGUUGGCAAGAGAGCCCUACUCUCUUGCCAACCGCACGCGCGCACCCUGUCACUCGUGUGUGUCUUCUCUCUCUCUAUUUAAAAAAUCUCGAUGAAAUCUUGUCUAACACGUUACCUAAAUUUUAACACAUACAACUUUUAACAAUGGAUCUCUUGGCUCUC